AGUGGCGCAAGGGUGCGUAACACGUGGGUAAUUUGCCGUGAAGUCUGGGAUAACUUGCUGAAAGGCGAGCUAAUACCGGAUGUGAUUACUGGAAGGCAUCUUCUGGUACUUAAAGUCGGGGAUCGUAAGACCUGACGCUUUUCGAUAAGCCCGCGGCCUAUCAGCUAGUUGGUGAGGUAACGGCUCACCAAGGCUAAGACGGGUAGCUGGUCUGAGAGGACGACCAGCCACACUGGAACUGAGACACGGUCCAGACACCUACGGGUGGCAGCAGUCGAGAAUUUUUCUCAAUGGGGGAAACCCUGAAGGAGCGACGCCGCGUGGGGGAUGAAUGGCUUCGGCCCGUAAACCCCUGUCAUUUGCGAUCAAACCUUACGACCUAACACGUCGUGAGCUGAUAGUAGCGGAAGAGGAAGGGACGGCUAACUCUGUGCCAGCAGCCGCGGUAAUACAGAGGUCCCAAGCGUUGUUCGGAUUCACUGGGCGUAAAGGGUGCGUAGGCGGUCGGGUAAGUCUGACGUGAAAUCUUCAAGCUCAACUUGGAAACUGCGUCGGAUACUAUUCGGCUAGAGGAAUGGAGGGGAGACUGGAAUACUUGGUGUAGCAGUGAAAUGCGUAGAUAUCAAGUGGAACACCAGUGGCGAAGGCGAGUCUCUGGACAUUUCCUGACGCUGAGGCACGAAAGCCAGGGGAGCAAACGGGAUUAGAUACCCCGGUAGUCCUGGCCCU
rnacentral:rRNA from 1 species